rnacentral:lncRNA from 1 species
CUUGACAAUAUGUAUUCAAACAAAAGCUGUAAAACGAUUAACAAUUUUUAGAAAAUAUUAAGCUAUCCACAAAUUCCUGAAAAUAAAUUAGCCGUGAUUUGCGGAAAAAAUGUUCUUAAUUAUUUUUCCCACAUGAUGUCCUUUCAGGUUCCAGGAAACAGCACGGGCAUGUAUUAGGCAUAAUAAGUAAUUAUAAAAAUAUGAGCAAAAAUGAGAUGGUUUAAAAGAGUGAAAAUUUUAAGGUUAAGAAAUCUGAAACUCAAAGGAAAACUGAUUAAAAACUGAUAAAUAAGUACCGUUAAACUGGAAAAGCAAACUACUAUACGCAUAAUACAAAAGACAAUUUAUCAUCUUUAAAACCAUAAGGCAUAUGAUAUAUGAGAUAGCACAAGGACAUAUCGGCAAGCCUUAGGUUGGUGUUUACGCGUGUAGGUGUGAAUCGCUAUGGUGAUCUGGUCGGAGAUAGAAAAAUAUAAAAUAUUUAUUACAUAACCACACUUAAUCUGAUGAUUUCCUAUGCAUUCAAUACCAAGUUCAAUACAUCUGAUUGUAAUAAGCAUAUUGGCCAUACUCUUCAUAUACAU